AAUGAACGCUGGCGGCAGGCCUAACACGUGCAAGUCGAACGGAUCCUUCGGGAUUAGUGGCGGACGGGUGAGUAACGCGUGGGAACAUACCCUUUGGUACGGAAUAGCCUCGGGAAACUGGGAGUAAUACCGUAUGUGGUCGAGAGACGAAAGAUUUAUCGCCAAAGGAUUGGCCCGCGUUGGAUUAGGUAGUUGGUGGGGUAAUGGCCUACCAAGCCGACGAUCCAUAGCUGGUUUGAGAGGAUGAUCAGCCACACUGGGACUGAGACACGGCCCAGACUCCUACGGGAGGCAGCAGUGGGGAAUCUUAGACAAUGGGGGAAACCCUGAUCUAGCCAUGCCGCGUGAUCGAUGAAGGCCUUAGGGUUGUAAAGAUCUUUCAGGUGGGAAGAUAAUGACUGUACCACCAGAAGAAGCCCCUGCUAACUCCGUGCCAGCCGCCGCCGUAAUAC
rnacentral:rRNA from 1 species